UUAGAGUUUGAUCCUGGCUCAGGAUGAACGCUAGCGGCAGGCUUAACACAUGCAAGUCGAGGGGCAGCGAGAUCAGUGCUUGCACUGAUUGUCGGCGACCGGCGCACGGGUGCGUAACGCGUAUGCAACCUACCCAUUACAGGGGGAUAACACUGAGAAAUCGGUACUAAUACCCCAUAACAUCCAGGGAGGCAUCUUCUUGGGUUGAAAACUCCGGUGGUAAUGGAUGGGCAUGCGUUGUAUUAGUUAGUUGGUGGGGUAACGGCUCACCAAGACAACGAUACAUAGGGGGACUGAGAGGUUAACCCCCCACAUUGGUACUGAGACACGGACCAAACUCCUACGGGAGGCAGCAGUGAGGAAUAUUGGUCAAUGGACGCAAGUCUGAACCAGCCAUGCCGCGUGCAGGAAGACGGCUCUAUGAGUUGUAAACUGCUUUUGUACGAGGGUAAACGCAGAUACGCGUAUCUGUCUGAAAGUAUCGUACGAAUAAGGAUCGGCUAACUCCGUGCCAGCAGCCGCGGUAAUACGGAGGAUUCAAGCGUUAUCCGGAUUUAUUGGGUUUAAAGGGUGCGUAGGCGGUCGGAUAAGUUAGAGGUGAAAUCCCGGGGCUCAACUUCGGAAUUGCCUCUGAUACUGUUCGGCUAGAGAGUAGUUGCGGUAGGCGGAAUGUAUGGUGUAGCGGUGAAAUGCUUAGAGAUCAUACAGAACACCGAUUGCGAAGGCAGCUUACCAAGCUACUUCUGACGUUGAGGCACGAAAGCGUGGGGAGCAAACAGGAUUAGAUACCCUGGUAGUCCACGCAGUAAACGAUGAUAACUCGUUGUCGGCGAUACAGUGUCGGUGACUAAGCGAAAGCGAUAAGUUAUCCACCUGGGGAGUACGUUCGCAAGAAUGAAACUCAAAGGAAUUGACGGGGGCCCGCACAAGCGGAGGAACAUGUGGUUUAAUUCGAUGAUACGCGUGGAACCUUACCCGGGCUUGAAAGUUAGUGACGGAUCUUGAAAGAGGUCUUCCCUUCGGGGCACGAAACUAGGUGCUGCAUGGUUGUCGUCAGCUCGUGCCGUGAGGUGUCGGGUUAAGUCCCAUAACGAGCGCAACCCCUACCGUUAGUUGCCAGCAGGUCAAGCUGGGCACUCUGACGGGACUGCCGGUGUAAGCCGAGAGGAAGGUGGGGAUGACGUCAAAUCAGCACGGCCCUUACGUCCGGGGCUACACACGUGUUGCAAUGGCAGGUACAGAGGGCAGCUACCCAGCGAUGGGAUGCGAAUCUCGAAAGCCUGUCUCAGUUCGGAUUGGAGGCUGAAACCCGCCUCCAUGAAGUUGGAUUCGCUAGUAAUCGCGCAUCAGCCAUGGCGCGGUGAAUACGUUCCCGGGCCUUGUACUCACCGCCCGUCAAG
rnacentral:rRNA from 1 species